rnacentral:misc_RNA from 1 species
GAUGAAGAACGUAGCGAAAUGCGAUAAGUAAUGUGAAUUGCAGAAUUCAGUGAAUCAUCGAAUCUUUGAACGCACCUUGCGCCCUUUGGCCAUUCCGAAGGGCAUGCCUGUUUGAGUAUCAUGAACACCUCAACUCUUUAUGGUUUUCCAUGAUGAGCUUGGACUUUGGGGGUCUUGCCGGCCUAUGGGUCGGCUCCUCUCAAAUUAAUCAGCUUGCCAGUGUUUGGUGGCAUCACAGGUGUGAUAACUAUCUACGCUUGUGGUUUUCCAUCAGGUAACCUUCAGUGAUGGAGGUUCGCUGGGGCUCAUAAAUGUCUCUCCUCAGUGAGGACAGCUUUUUUGAACGUUUGAUCUCAAAUCAGGUAGGACUACCCGCUGAACUUAAGCAUAUCAAUAAGCGGAGGA